rnacentral:lncRNA from 1 species
AAAAAAUAAACAAACAAAGUUGAACCUCAAAUUCAAUUCAAAGCCACUUCAAAAAGUCCAAUUGAAUUUUCAUAGAAUCAACAUAGUCAAACAAACUUUGACUAAUUUUCUCAGAAAUUUUUAAAGUCAGAGAGUAAUUAAAAUCAAUUAAAAACAAACAAAUAUAGAAUAAUAUGAAUUAAAAUCUCAAAUAAUCUCAAAACAAUCAAGAAA